UCUACGUUUUAAAUUCCAACACAUCAUUUAUCUUAUUCUUUUUGAUUUAUAUUUGGGGAUAACAGUGCAACCUUGUAUAAGAAACAGCCACUAGGAUGAUCAACAGCUAUUUGUCUGUGCUCAUUGUGGCUUCAAAAUUAGGAAUGAGUCGAAAUGGAUAAACCCAAGAUAUGCAAGUUUGGCAGCAUUUUUGUUUGUCAUUAAUUAAUCAAGGGAGGAUGGUUUUCUGCCUUGGGUCUCAGUUUGUUUUCUGACUCCUAUGCAAGACAAGAGGAGAGGUGGUGGUUACUGAGAGCUGCACACCAUCCUUGCUGUGCCUCUGCUUAACAGUUGCUGAGUGCUGAAUGGUGCCGGGCACUGGGCUCGACCCGAGAUUCACAAGUAUGUGUAACGGGUACAGUCCCUGCCUACAGAAAGUCACAGUCUAGUGGGAGAGGCAGAUAUUAAUGAGACAGUCUCCCAUCAUAAGUGUUUAAUUAUACACUGGUGUAGGUGUCAUGAAGGAAAGCAGUUGGUGUUAGCAGAACUCUGAGGGAAGCCUGACAUAGUGUGGGGGUCUUGGAAGGCUAUGUUCUGAAGGACAACCCUCACCAGGAGGAGAAACCAGGUACCAGGUGAAAGCUGGGGAGUGGUGUAGGGACCAGCAUUGACACAGGAGUACUGGGCUGCAUGAACAGCUUUAUCUUGAUUAUGGCAGCAGUCACCAUGGAAGUCACCACAGGUUAUAACUCCUAGCAAACUCCUACCUCUCAUUCAAAGACCAUUUCAAAAAUUACCUUCUUUAGGAAGUGUUCUUUGAAUCCUACAGACAGAAUUACUCCCAUGCUAGAACUUGGCUUAUACCCCUGAUGAAACAUGGGGGAGACCCUUUGUACUUUGAAUCUGAGAGGCAGUAUGUGUCUAUGGAGCCAGGCCCCCUGAGUUCAAAUCCUGAAUCAACUAUUCAUUUGACCUUGGGAAAAUUCCGUAAUCCCUCUGCAUUUCAGUUUUGCCAUUUGUAAAAUGGAACUAUCAAUAGCACCUUCCUCAUUGGUUUGAUGGGAAGAUUGGAAGUGUCAUUAUAAACACUGUGCCUGGUUCAGUGCUUUGGACGUAGUAAAACUACUAAUGUGAUCUGUACUUUUCUAAACAUGUCUGUUUCCUCAUUAGUUUUGCCCAAGUGCUCAGAGCUGGCUGGAGUCCAAUCAGGAACUCCACCCGUAUCUAUAACAUUGGGUUCAGUGCUCUUUCUGGGAAAAUCAGGCUGCCUUCAAUUACAAUGCCUCUCAAACUUUAUGUGUACUUGAAUAGCCUAGAAAUCUUGUUAAAAUGCAGGUUCUAGUUCAGUUGAUCUAGGUGAUGAUCUAUGCAGCUGGUGUGUAUAUUGAGAAGUAAGGGUCUAUCUACCAGCCUGAGUGAGCUCUCUGAUUCUACCUGAGUUCUGGGGGAGAGACAGGAGCCUGUGGAAGGAGGAGGAGACUCACUCUAUAAUGCCUGCACUGGACAUUGCAGCCUUCUCCUUGUCUGGACCAGUGUCCCAUCUGCCUUAGCUACUCAGUCAGUAUGAGAUGACUAUCAUCAGAUUAUCAGUAAUGGUCCAGUUAUUGAGGACUCUGUCAGUUAGGGUUCUCCAGCAAAAAAGGAAAAAAUGAGUGAGAUUUAUUUUAAGGGACUGUAGGGUAGACUGGCUUGCUGGAAAUUCAGAUGAGUAUUAUUAUUGAAGUCUCUAGACUGAGAUGUGUUGGGUGGUCCAGCAGGCUGGAAGCUCAGUCAGAAUUUCAUAAGCUAGAAUUUCAUAAGCUAGAAUUCCUUUGUUCCUGGGAAAUCCUUGAGUUUGCUUUGACAUUCUUCCACUGGUUAGAUGAAUCCCACCUAUGUUAGACAGGGUAAUCUGUUUUACUUAAAGUCCAUGGAUAGAUGUUGAUCCCACCUAUGUUAGACAGGGUAAUCUGUUUUACUUAAAGUCCAUGGAUAGAUGUUGAUCACAUCUGCAAAAUACCUUCCGAGCAACGUCUAUAUUAGUAUUUGUCCAAACAAUUGGGCACCAUAGCCCAGCAAGUUGACACAAAAAAUGAACCCACAUCAGCACCAAAGAGCAUGGCCUGCUUCACAGUCUCAAUCAUCCUUUUCAUUUCUACCAUAGCCAACUGUGGAGAAAUCCCUGUAAACCCACCUCCUUUGUGGGGCAGACUCUCCAUGUGCAUGGCCCUCAUCUUGGGGUUUGAAAGGUGCCAUUAAUGUUUGAGAGUUGCCAGUGACUGUGGUCUGUGCUCUGUUAUAGCCAACUUAAACCCAAUUAACCAACUCUCUUGGCUAGGUUUCUUAGUGAAAAUCAGAAGUUACCCCCUUUCAAACAAUUGCCCACCUUGGUGUGCCCAGCUCAGGGUUGAGAAUUCAGAUACUGUUUGUGUGGGGUGACACCACUGGAUUGUAAGCAACAAGCAGUUCUUUCAGGAGGUCUUGGACAGCUGCUAAGACCCCGCUGUGGUCUUGGCCACAUGUGGCCACAGAAACAGAGCUGAACCAAUAUUCUGCCGUCCUUAGGGAAACGCUUGUUGAGCCAACACCACACUGUGGGAUGGUAGCAGCAGGUACAUUCAGACCUCAUGUUUACUUCUGUUCAGCUUUCCCAAGGCAAUUUCCAGGUUGUGAUUUCAUUUUAUGUUGAUUAUAGUUUGGUGGGAUAGUUGGAGUAGAUGGUGUUAAGGUUCAUGUUUUCCUGAGUUGGUGAAAUGGUACCAUUUGGAAACUGGCAGAAUUCAAUUGGAAUUUGUAUCCAUCUCUUACUAGCUGAGUGACCCUGGACAAGUUGCUUCAACUCAGUAGUCAUAUCUGCCAUAACCACCUUAAAUGUUUGAAGCAAGGAUCAUAGAUCAUAUAGCUCAGCAUCUCUUAUCUACUAAGAUGCUUAAAAAUGACUUUUUAUCACUAUUUUAGUACACAUGCCUUGGGUCCUGCCUUCCCCAGAACCCUUCUAUGCUGACUAUACCUACCCACGACCCUUGAGGAGGUGCCAGCUGAAGUGCCUUUUGGCUUGUGCUAUGUGAUCUGCAUCACAAACACAGCUGAUUAGGGAAGUAAAGUCAUCUUGCCUAUGAUGGACUUGGACUCCUCUCCUAGGAAUUGGAACAUUAAGGGAUUGAACUCUUGAGCAGUGGGGAGCUCAGCUAAAAGGUUGUAUGGUUUUGGGAACCAGGGCAACUAUGAUAACUACUGUAUACGCCUAGGUAGUGACAGGGGAGGCCUUCUGGUGGCGAAAGAGGGAGACAGAAGCGAGAAGGCAUAAGAAGAGAUGUGUUGUAGAGUUCUUAAAAAACAGAGCCACAGUUAAUAGCUUUCCAGUUCCCAUUAGGCCAGAUGGAGUCUUUCCUGCCCUUGGAUUCCAUGGAACCUAAAUUCUUUUGAUAAGUCAAAACCUUUUCUUGGCUGGGUUCAUAGGUAGUGAAAUAAGAUCAAUGAUGUGAAGGAGCUGAUGAAGAGAUGGGGGCUCUAAUAGGCAAGCAUUUAAGCAGCCUGGAUGCCCAGCCCAAGGCUCAUGCUCUUUGCUGCCUUGUCUGAUGAGUGCAGUUAUAAUGAUUAUUUUCUCUGCUCUGGGGCUGCUGGGGAGUGGUUGGAGAAGGAAGUAUGGUAUAGGAGGCAUGAUGUGGAGGUAAUUCUCUUUGACAUUUCCUCUCUGUGACUUCCAUGCAGCUGCUCUCCCAGGAUCAUUUCAGAAUCAUGAAAGUAUCUUUGAUGUCUUCCUUCUUGGAUUGGGCACCAGUUCUCAAUGACAGCCCUAUCUUCUCUGAAGGAGAGAAGUUAUUGGAUUAUUGGGGAUGAAUCCCAGGGGAUUUGGUUUAAUAUGGUUCCCACCUAAUGAUAUCAUCUGACUCAGAAGUCAGGUUUCUCUGACCUUUUAGUGCUGGCUGUGAACCAAUAUGGUGGUAAUAAUAUGGGGCCUAAAGAUGAAGAUAAAUCUGGGGAAGACCUAGGCACUCCCCUUGAAUAUUCCAGAGUGACUUGUCUGAGCUUAAAACUCAUCAUUGGCAUCACUGGGGCUAAGGUGUUGCAGGAAACUGGAGUACUUCCUCAGACUUGGCUGUCACAAUGGGGCAGAAUGUCAAGCCUCCUGUGAUGGUUGGCUAGACCUGAGCUUUCAAACUUUGAGGACAUUGAAGGGCUAGCCAUAUCAGAAUCAAAGAGGCAUUCAGUCCCUUUCUGAUUCAGAAUGUAUAGGAUGAAGCUUUGGGUAGCUCUAAUUUUAAUAAAUACUAGGUGAUUCUAAUCAAAUCAUCAGCCAUGAUAGAAACCACCCUCAUGUAGAUGGCCUCAAUGGAGGUCAGUCUAAAAUUCUCUGAAAUAUGUUGCAUGGGAAGUUCUGUAGUUUAAGCCCCAACUUCAAAAUAGAUGCUACUAUAGGUUAAGUUAUGUCCCUCCAAAUUUGUGUUUGAGUCCUAACCCCCCAAGACCUCAGAAUAUGACCUUAUUUAGAAAUAGGACCUUGUAGGUAUAGUUAGUUAAGAUGAGCUUAUAUGGAAUAGAGUGGGCCCCUAAUUCAAAAUAACUAAGGUGUUUGCAGGUUCUUAUAACAAGGGGAAAUUUGGAUAUAAAGACAGACAUAGCUAGAGGGAAGAUGAUAUGAAGAGACAUAGGAAGAACUAUGUUGCCACAACCCAAGGAGCAUCUGGAAUCACCAGCAGCUGGAAGAGGUGUGAAGAUCAUUCAGCCAUUAAUUCACCAAGCACUUGUUGAUCACAGCCAACUGCCAUAUAUUCUGCUAAGUUUGGAGGAACAACUGGAGAUUCCUAUCUUCUGAUUUAGUUGGAGAAACAAAUAUGCAAUCAAGUGAAUGUAGAAUUCA